CCUACGGGAGGCAGCAGUGGGGAAUAUUGGACAAUGGGCGCAAGCCUGAUCCAGCAAUGCCGCGUGAGUGAUGAAGGCCUUCGGGUCGUAAAGCUCUUUUACCAGGGAUGAUAAUGACAGUACAGAGAUAGUCGCCCA
rnacentral:rRNA from 1 species